UGUCAGAGGAACAGAGAGUGUCUGCUUCAAAGCUCAUACCAUUGUACAGGAUGUUGCAGCACAAGCUUGCACAGAAAAAGGAAAUGCAACGCAGGAAUCAACUGUACAAUUAGGCUCACAUCUACAAGAAGGUCUGCACUCCAGAUGUGGAGGGUACGAGACUUUUAGAGCCUUGGCACUGGCUACACUGCUGGACCCAAGGUUUAAAAAUGUGGCUUUUGGAAAUCCUGCCAAAGCCCUGGAUGCUGAAAAGCACAUCACACUGGAGUGUGCUUCACUGAUGCGUUCAAACACAACUCCUGAACCACAAAUGUCAACAUCAGGCCCAUCAUCAACACCAGUUGAAACACAAGACAGUUUAUGGGAACAUUUUGACAAUCGUAUCCGUGAGACCCAGAUGAUACACAAUCCUACAGCUGAUGCCACAGUGGAAGUGAAAAAAUACCUCAGCGAUGCGUUUUUGCCCAGAACUCAUGAUCCUCUAACUUACUGGAAAGAGAGAGCAGUAAUCUUUCCUCAUUUGUAUGUCCUAGCUAAAAAAUAUCUUUGUAUGCCAGCAACAAGUGUCCCUUGUGAGAGAAUUUUUUCAAAGGCUGGAGAAAUUAUCUGUAAAAAAAGUAGGCUGAGUCCUUCAACAGCAGAGAAAUUAAUAUUUUUGAAUAAAAAUCUAUAAG